rnacentral:rRNA from 1 species
GAUAAACGCUGGCGGCGUGCUUAACACAUGCAAGUCGAACGAAGUUUUUCCUUCGGGAGAAACUUAGUGGCGGACGGGUGAGUAACGCGUGGGUAACCUGCCCUGUACAGGGGGACAACAGCUGUAAACGGCUGCUAAUACCGCAUAAGCCCUUAGCACUGCAUGGUGCAUAGGGAAAAGGAGCAAUCCGGUACAGGAUGGACCCGCGUCUGAUUAGCCAGUUGGCAGGGUAACGGCCUACCAAAGCGACGAUCAGUAGCCGAUCUGAGAGGAUGUACGGCCACAUUGGGACUGAGGCACGGCCCAGACUCCUACGGGAGGCAGCAGUGGGGAAUAUUGCACAAUGGAGGAAACUCUGAUGCAGCGACGCCGCGUGAGUGAAGAAGUAUUUCGGUAUGUAAAGCUCUAUCAGCAGGGAAGAAAAUGACGGUACCUGACUAAGAAGCACCGGCUAAAUACGUG